rnacentral:rRNA from 2 species
CGGAGGGAAACCGAGUCUUAAUUGGGCGUUAAGUUGCAGGGUAUAGACCCGAAACCCGGUGAUCUAGCCAUGGGCAGGUUGAAGGUUGGGUAACACUAACUGGAGGACCGAACCGACUAAUGUUGAAAAAUUAGCGGAUGACCUGUGGCUGGGGGUGAAAGGCCAAUCAAACCGGGAGAUAGCUGGUUCUCCCCGAAAGCUAUUUAGGUAGCGCCUCGUGAAUUCAUCUCCGGGGGUAGAGCACUGUUUCGGCUAGGGGGCCAUCCCGGCUUACCAACCCGAUGCAAACUGCGAAUACCGGAGAAUGUUAUCACGGGAGACACACGGCGGGUGCUAACGUCCGUCGUGAAGAGGGAAACAACCCAGACCGCCAGCUAAGGUCCCAAAGUCAUGGUUAAGUGGGAAACGAUGUGGGAAGGCCCAGACAGCCAGGAUGUUGGCUUAGAAGCAGCCAUCAUUUAAAGAAAGCGUAAUAGCUCACUGGUCGAGUCGGCCUGCGCGGAAGAUGUAACGGGGCUAAACCAUG